GCCAGGCAUGUUGGCGCGUGCCUGUAGUCCCAGCUACUUGGGGGGCUGAGGUGGGAGGAUUGCUUGAGCCCAGGAGGUUGAGGCUGCAGUGAGCCGUGAUCGCACCCCUGCACUCCAGCCUGGGCGACAGAGCAAGAUCCUGUCUCAA
rnacentral:SRP_RNA from 1 species